rnacentral:hammerhead_ribozyme from 1 species
AUCCAGAUGACGAGUCUCAUAUAGGAGGAAAUGUGAAUCCUGGAU